rnacentral:rRNA from 1 species
AUUGAACGCUGGCGGCAGGCCUAACACAUGCAAGUCGAACGGUAACAGGAAGCAGCUUGCUGCUUUGCUGACGAGUGGCGGACGGGUGAGUAAUGUCUGGGAAACUGCCCGAUGGAGGGGGAUAACUACUGGAAACGGUAGCUAAUACCGCAUAACGUCGCAAGACCAAAGAGCGGGACCUUAGGGCCUCUUGCCAUCGGAUGUGCCCAGAUGGGGUUAGCAAGUAGGUGGGGUAACGGCUCACCUAGUCGACGAUCCCUAGCUGGUCUGGGAGGUGGACCAGCCAAACUGGAACUGGGAAACGGCCCAGAUCCCUAGGGGAGGCAGCAGUGGGGAAUAUUGCACAAUGGGGGCAAGCCUGAUGCAGCCAUGCGGCGUGUAGGAAGAAGGCUUGCGGGUGGUAAAGUACUUUCAGCGGGGAGGAAGGGAGUAAAGUUAAUACCUUUGCUCAUUGACGUUACCCGCAGAAGAAGCACCGGCAAACUCCGU